GUCGUGGUCCAGGGGAGGGUGGACGCUCUCUCUGGCAGCCCGUCUCUGUGUGGUCAUUGCGGAAAUAGUGAUUGUUGCAAAACGUGUAGAGUAACCGUGAGCUGAGGACCCGAGUGUCGUCGGGCGCGAGAUCCCCGUAGUUUUGUGUGACCUUCUUGCUGCUGGCCGAAAUGAGGGCGUGCUGGCUGCUAGGAUUUGUGAUGGCGGUGGGCGUGACCCAUGGCCUGGGCGAGGUUCUGAGCACAUGCCCUGCAGAGUGCACGUGCUCUGACCUUACCGUGAGCUGCGGACACCGCGGACUCACACGUGUGCCCAGAAACCUGCCACACGACGCUCAGCGCAUGUGAGUACCCCGGCACCUUCAGCCACUCAUGCCAACAUAUGCUGUUGCUUACACGGUUAUGCUAGACCUGAUGUUCAAAGAUUUUAAAAGAUCAUUCAUGCAAGCGUCACAAGAUUUGCCUGGUAGCGCAUGACCUUCGAUCUAUUAUUGCUAACCUGGAUAAGGAUAAUCUUACAUGAAAACCGCACUGUGUUAUAUAAAACAUUUUGAAUUAACAACUUGAUCAUGCAUAAGUGAUAAUGAGGCACAUUCUGCUGCGUCGGCCAGGUCGUAGUGCGCCGUAAAGGUCAGCCUCCAAGAAAGGAAAGUUGGUCGUGCGAGCAAGGUCGUCCUUCGCCGAAAGAAGUAAACAGAAAUCUGUACCUUGUUUAAAAAAAGUUAUACUUACCAUAAUGAUGGGCGUCUCUGCAUGGCCACAAAACGUUAUUAACAUUAAUAGGUCAGGUGAAAUCGCAUGGUUAGAAAGAAUGGUUGGCACAUGAAACCAACGAUUUUAGUAUCCGCAGAGACGCACAGCAUUAAUUAGCUAACAAGGUACUCUGCUUUGAUAAAGAAAAAAUGCUUGGCAGAUAGUGAACAAAAAAUAUGAUAACUUUGCCAAUAACAAAAUAUUAGGCAUGAAAGGUCAGGAAAGUAGGUUGAUUUGCAUCUGAAACAGCAGGCGAAAUAAGCUGGUUUGCGGCCCACAGCUCGGACCGGGAAGGUUUUGCGCCCCAGAGGUCACAGAAGGAUUAGUCUUGCGUCUGAAAGGCAGAGCAAGGAGGCUUGUUUUGCGUUUCGUUAAUGAAGCAGUGGAGCUUAUCUUUCGUCUCAGAUUUCAAACGGCGAAGGAAAGCCAUUUUGAAGGGGUGAGGGUCGAUGGGAUCGCUCAGGACAUGUUUCUCUGCGAAGUGAGUGUUUCCUAAGUGCAUAAGAUUAGGCAGGACUUCCGAAAUGAUGGGAAUCGCAUCUUACAAGCUAGGCCAGAGGGCAUGUGGGAAGAAAUAGGGGAAACUAUAAAAGACAGAAAGGGAGAAGGCAGAAGAAAAAUAUACGUUGACGGUCUCGAAAUAUUGGUACAAGAGUUAACGGAAAAUGUGAAGAUGAAUAAAAAAGGAAGGUCAUCUAACAAGGAGGAAGAAGAAGAAAAA